CUAGCUCCGUCCCCACACAAAAUUAGACGAGUUCUAAUUUCCAAUAACAAACACACAAACACACCCUCCCACCCAAAACAGUAAGUGACCAAAUUACAAUAAGUGCACAAAACAGAGCUCCAAACAACAAACGACAAAAUUGUGUUCAAACAGACACCCCGGCAAAAAGAGAACUGCAAAAUUACGACAUCUAUGCAAUUCUCCACGCCACAAAUCCGACAUUUUAUAAAAAGUUUUAAACAAACUACACAUAGACAAACAAAACAACCACGUACACAUCCUUGAAAAAGAUUAAAUAAAUAAUCGAAACGUCGGAUAUAGUGCAAAAAAGUUGUUUUUGCUGCUUAUACUUGACUGAAAGCCGAAAACCGUUACAAAAUAACUACCACAGUCGAUAAGCCACCCAA